GAUGAACGCUGGCGGCGCAUUUAAGACAUGCAAGUCGAACGGAAAUUUACGCCAAACAAAUUGAGUAGUUUACUAUGAGAGGAGUUUAUUGUAAAUUUUAGUGGCGGACGGGUGAGUAAUACGUAGGCAACCUGCCUCGAAGAGGGAAAUAACUAGGAGAAAUCUUAGCUAAUGUCCCAUAAGACUACACUGUGGCAUCGCAGAGUAGUCAAAGGAGAAAUCCGCUUCGAGAUGGGCCUACGGCUGAUUAGUUAGUUGGAGUGGUAACGGCACACCAAGACGAUGAUCAGUAGCCGGGCUGAGAGGCUGACCGGCCACAUUGGGACUGAGACACGGCCCAG
rnacentral:rRNA from 1 species